rnacentral:rRNA from 1 species
AUCUUACGGGAGGCAGCAGUGGGGAAUCUUAGACAAUGGGCGCAAGCCUGAUCUAGCCAUGCCGCGUGAGCGAUGAAGGCCUUAGGGUUGUAAAGCUCUUUCGUGGGGGAAGAUAAUGACGGUACCCCCACGAAGGAGGCCGAACCUUCCG